rnacentral:lncRNA from 1 species
AAAAAUAUAAAAAAAAUUGAACCAACCGUUUUAUCAGAAAAAUUACACUGGUUAUAUAGCAGUUUGACAGACACUAAUUUUGAUCAUUGAGAAGCUUAAUAUUCCCUUAACAACACAACGUAAUUAAAACGUUUAGCUGAGUUUACAGAGUUAUCUCCCUGUAGUGUUAGGUACCAACUUAAAAGUGUGUGUAUACAGUGAGUGUUUUAUUUCUGAUAAAUGAACUGCUACCAGUUCUACAUCCUAAAAUAAAGGAAAUAAAGGGAUUAUAUGCACAGCAGCAGAUUGUUUAAACGAGUCCUUACAUUCUAAAUGAUUCUAAGGCUUUAAUGGCACAUCUUUUCAAUUGAGUAAAAUACUAACAAGCAG